rnacentral:rRNA from 1 species
GAUGAACGCUGGCGGCGUGCUUAACACAUGCAAGUCGAACGGAAGGGCCCUGCUCUUGUGGGGUUCUCGUGUGGCGAACGGGUGAGUAACACGUGUGUAUCCUGCCCUUGUCUUUGGGGUAUAACCACGAAACUCGGGCUAUUACAGGAUAGGAUAUCCUGAUGCACGUUGGGCGUUGGAGAGUUUCGGCGGUUCGGGAUGGUCUGGCGGCUUAUCAGCUUCAUGGUGGAGUAGUGGAUGACCAAGGGUUUGACGGAUAGGCGGCCUGAGAGGGGGACCGGCGUCAAUGGGACUAAGAGACGCACCAGACUCCUACGGGAGGCAGCAGGCGGGAGUAUGACACAACGGGCGGAAGCGUGAGACGGCAAUGCCGCGUGCGGGAUGACGGCUUACGGGGUGAAAACCGCUUUCGCCGGUGACGAAGCGUGAGUGACGGUAACGAAUAAAAAAGCAACGGCUAACUACGUG